AGAGUUUGAUCCUGGCUCAGGACGAACGCUGGCGGCGUGCUUAACACAUGCAAGUCGAACGGAAAGGCCCACCACCUUGGUGGUGGGUACUCGAGUGGCGAACGGGUGAGUAACACGUGGGUGAUCUGCCCCGCACUGUGGGAUAAGCCUGGGAAACUGGGUCUAAUACCACAUACGACCAUGGCGUAGGGGUCAUGGUGGAAAGCUUUUGCGGUGUGGGAUGAGCCCGCGGCCUAUCAGCUUGUUGGUGGGGUAAUGGCCUACCAAGGCGGCGACGGGUAGCCGGCCUGAGAGGGUGGACGGCCACAUUGGGACUGAGACACGGCCCAGACUCCUACGGGAGGCAGCAGUGGGGAAUAUUGCACAAUGGGCGCAAGCCUGAUGCAGCGACGCCGCGUGGGGGAUGACGGCCUUCGGGUUGUAAACUCCUUUCGCCCGGGACGAAGCCCACCUGGUGGGUGACGGUACCGUGGAGAAGAAGCACCGGCUAACUACGUGCCAGCAGCCGCGGUAAUACGUAGGGUGCAAGCGUUGUCCGGAUUUACUGGGCGUAAAGAGCUCGUAGGUGGUGUGUCGCGUCGUCUGUGAAAUUCCGGGGCUUAACUCCGGGCGUGCAGGCGAUACGGGCACGACUAGAGUGCUGUAGGGGUAACUGGAAUUCCUGGUGUAGCGGUGAAAUGCGCAGAUAUCAGGAGGAACACCGAUGGCGAAGGCAGGUUACUGGGCAGUUACUGACGCUGAGGAGCGAAAGCAUGGGGAGCGAACAGGAUUAGAUACCCUGGUAGUCCAUGCUGUAAACGGUGGGCGCUAGGUGUGGGCUGUGUGUUUGCAGUCUGUGCCGUAGCUAACGCAUUAAGCGCCCCGCCUGGGGAGUACGGCCGCAAGGCUAAAACUCAAAGGAAUUGACGGGGGC
rnacentral:rRNA from 1 species